AUGGAUAGAGCAAAAAUCUAGUGAGCAAGCACUAACCAUUUACAUAUACACACAUGUACAUACAUUUAUAUUACAUAUACACACAUUUACACACUUUGAUGGAUAGAGCAAAGUUAUAGUUAGCAAGUUCUAACCAUUUUAUAUAUGUAUACAGUUGGUGGACAGAGCAAAGCUCUAACAACUUUUUUUUUCUCUUAGCUUUUUUAUACCCCCUAGACAAAGUUCUUUAUGUAAAAGGAAGAACUACAUCAUUAAAAAGUAGAUAAAAUAAAAAAAGAUAAAAUGUUAAUAUAAGAAGGACUUACAGCAGAAUUGUUGAGAAGUGCAAAACAGUAGUUUUUAUCUAUCUUUCAUUUAAUAAGCUCAUUAUAAGUUCAAAGUAAUAGUUUUAUCUAUUUUCUACUUCACAAAUUCAUUGUAAGUUCAAAGCAAUAGUUUUUUCAUGUCAUACAUUAAAUACAUUAAAAUUUUUACCAAGAAACAGGUCAUCUAUCUUAGUCUUAUUUUGUUAUUUUGUUUUGUUUUUUGUUUUUUCUUUUUUUUUUUUUUUUUGGUUUAUUUCGAGACAGGGUUUCUCUGUGUAGCCCUGGCUAUCCUGGGCUCACUCUGUACAUCAGGCUGGUCUCUAACUCAGAAAUCCACCUGCCUCUGCCUCCCAAGUGCUGGAAUUAAAGGCGUGCACCACCACUGCCCGGCUAGUCUUAUUUUUGAUGUCUAGCUAACCAUCCAUUCUCUGUUUGUACACUCAAAAUAGAGUUACCCACUCCUUGUCCAUGACCUCACUUAUUCUGAUGCACACCUGUGGCCUCAUCCCUGGACCUAACCUAGAAUGAAUGUUUUCCUUGAUCAUUAAUUAGUUCCAAGCCUAAUUUUCUUUCUAGUGCAAUGUAUGUGCUUGUAACUCAUGAGCAUCACUGUACUCCUUUUCUAACCUAUGCAGCCUUUACUUACUAUUCUAUGAGGAGGGGCACAUACUAUUCUUGAUUCUAUUAUUACAUCUUUCUGGCAAAUUGACUAAAACCAUCUCCUUAAACUUUCUAAACUAUUUAAAUCAAAUCAAGAAUACUGUAAAAUCAUUAAUUUAAACAAUACUAGUUUAUAAGAGUUCUUCUUGGGGCUGGAGAGAUGGCUCAGAGGUUAAGAGUACUGACUGCUCUUGGAGAAGUCCUGAGUUCAAUUCCCAGCAACCACAUGGUGGCUCACAACCAUCUAUAAUGGGAUCUCAUGCCUUCUUCUGGUAUGCAGGCACAUGUGCAGGCAGAACACUGUAUAUGAUAAUC
rnacentral:lncRNA from 1 species